UCAUCAAAAACAGGAAGUCUUUGUUUGAAGAUUUAGAAGCACAUUACUAAUACAAGUAAGAGGUGUUAAGAAGCUUCACAUCUCAGGCAUUGAAAACUUCCAGAAUGCACAGUAUUAGUUGUGUCACCUAUGAAGCCAGAUUCCUCUGCUUCAACAAUUCUGUAGACAUGAGGAAGGCGAAUAUGGAUUUUUUGCAUCCAUGUACUGCUAAUAGAGUAACUGAGCUUCCCGGGUUUAAAGAUGAAGUUCAUAUCAGUGUAUACCCAUCCUCUUCACUCCCUCAUGUUUAUCAGUGGCAUUCCGGAGCAGAUCGGUGAUAAGACUUGUGGAUAUUGGAUUAUGCAUUACAUGAGGGAUAUAGUAGAGGACAAAAACCAAGAGUGGAGUGCUAAGUGGGAAAGAAAAGCAAAUCACUAUUACACAAUGGAGAAUGUUGAUGUUGUCCGGGCAGAGUGGGCAAAGUAUGUUAUGAAGUUCAAAGAUAACUAGUGCAUGUGUAGGUUUAUUAACUAGUGCAUCAACUUUUGGACAUGGAUAGUUGAUAUAUAUAUAUAUAUAUAUAUAGGCCAGAUUUUGAUUGCAGUACUGCUAGCUAUUUUGCUAUGUUGUUUAGUUGGUUGCCCACAUUGUGUUGUGCUUCUGGCUUAUUAGCAAGCAGUACUGCAUGCAUAUAUUUUGGUGGCUGCCCAGUUUAGUAUAUAUGGGCCGUUUAGAACUGAUGUUGAUGAUUAGAACUGUGAUGUUGAUGAUUAGGUUCUGAUGUUGAUGAUUAGAACUAUGUACAUGAGACAAUGGUGGAUUAAUGGAAAUUGCAAUGAAUGAUUUUGGA